CUCCUACUAAAGUUUCCUCCUCUUUUCUUCCAUAGUUUACAUUCUGUGUUAUUAAGGCUCAGCAAGUUUCUCACAAGGGCUGGGAAAGACUUCUUGGAGGGCCCCCUCAAGCGUCCAGAAAACAAUAGGAACAAAAGACAGAGGAAAGGGGCAGAAGCCUAGCUCUAGGAUUUAAAGGAAGGAGUUGGCCCAAUUCAGAAGGUCAGGAAUAGAGCCGGACUAGGGUCAAGUCACCUGCCUCUUGCUUUGGUCUCCCCUAUUAUUCUCUCAGGCCCAAUGAGGGGCGGCAGGCAGGCUUCAGUACCCACAGCAGAGUAGAGGGCUUCCCUGAAAAGGGGUCCGCUCUCCGAAUGGUCCCCUAAGCCCCUGAGAUGCUUUCGCACUGGUCCUCCAGCCCACCAUGCAUCUGAAUUACAGGGUGCAGACUUAAGACACAAAGGCUGAGGCCCCAGAGGUUCUGGAGAGGUUCAGGGUGGAGCCCCAGCCUUGGUCAGAUUUUCAAAAUGUGAAGAACCACUGAGUAAUCCCUUUAGACCCACAUCACUGGCGACACAUGUUUUAAGAGCAGGAUACACGGGAAGUCUCUGUGCUUGGAAUUGGCUGAUCGAGAAUUUGGAGAACGGCAGUCAUCGUGGACAAUGAUGCACACCACUGUAAGGGGGCCAGCACGCGGUGGAGGCCAACUGCUUUCCCACGGUCUCCGUCUGAAUCCUGCCUUCCCCACUGCUCCAUUUUGUAGCAGCAAUUGGCCAAAGGAAAGCAACCUACAGACCUGAGUCCAAAAGCAACUAAAGACCUGAGUCUAACAAUCGGCAUUUCCUCCUGCAUGGUGAGGACGAUCUCUUUGUCUAACUUACAAGGAGGCUCUAAUUCCAAUUAGGACUCACAGUCAAGCUGUCACACGAUGACUUUCGUAAAGCUGGGUGCGGCAUGAAUGAGCCCAGGGUAAUUCAAGCAUUCUUUCUUCUUCGGAUCACUUUAUACUUCAAGAUUCUGGUCCCUUGACUUUUUAAUUGAUCUUCACUCAGCACUUCACGCUUGGAACGCUUCGGCCAGAAGGUUCUUUGUCCCGCUCCUCAGAAAUUAAUGGCGUGUGGGGAAAGUUUUAGGUGCGCUGGGGGGAGCUCCAAUUAAAAGAGGCCUGGGUGGGGAUCUUCCGCAAAACAAUCAUCCUUUGAAUACGCGGAGGCUCACUUUGCCCAAAUCUGUCUGCGUCGCAAGUUUGCAUUUCGUGUAUUAGAGUCUCUUAAAAUAGGACUCACGGUUGAACCUCACUCAGGUUCUGAGUUAAAGUCUUGAGCCGGGUCUGCAGGGAGCAGAGCGGGCGAGCUGCUGUGUAGUGAUGAGGGCCACAGCCUCACGCUGGGCUCUAAAUCACAGCUAAAACCCCAGAGCUAAAAGCAUCAUUCCUCUCUGGCACUUUCGAUUUAAAAGCCAUGCUAUAUUUUUGUUUCCAAUUAUAGAAGGAGAAAAAUAAAAGCAUCUGGAACUCAUUACUGUCCCUUUAU
rnacentral:lncRNA from 1 species